rnacentral:rRNA from 1 species
UACGUAGGGUGCGAGCGUUUGUCCGGAAUUAUUGGGCGUAAAGAGCUUGUAGGUGGUUUGUCGCGUCUGCCGUGAAAGUCCGGGGCUCAACUCCGGAUCUGCGGUGGGUACGGGCAGACUAGAGUGAUGUAGGGGAGACUGGAAUUCCUGGUGUAGCGGUGAAAUGCGCAGAUAUCAGGAGGAACACCGGUGGCGAAGGCGGGUCUCUGGGCCGAUACUGACGCUGAGGAGCGAAAGCGUGGGGAGCGAACAGG